GACAACGUGGCCGAGCGGUUAAGGCGUCAGACUUGAAUUCCUCCACUCUAUUCAGUUAUCUGAUUCCUUCGGGAGCGCAGGUUCAAGUCCUGCCGUUGUCG